CUAAUACAGAUUUAGACAGCAUUGUGAACAAUAUCUGAGAGAAAAAGGUCUUUGGUGUAUAUAGAAAAUGUUUCAGAUCUUUGAAUUCAGCUCAUGAAAAAUGGGAGCAAAAACAAAAGUAUUGGUUUUAUAUUUUUGUU